UAGGACUCUCGGCAAUGGAUAUCUUGGCUCUCGCAUCGAUGAAGAGCGCAGCGAAAUGCGAUACGUGGUGCGAAUUGCAGAAUCCCGUGAACCAUCGAGUUUUUGAACGCAAGUUGCGCCCGAGGCCAGCUGGCCGAGGGCACGUCCGCCUGGGCGUCAAGCAUUGAAUCGCCCC
rnacentral:rRNA from 2 species